rnacentral:piRNA from 2 species
UUGGUCCGAGAGUAGUGGUGUUUAC